UACGGGGGGGGCAAGCGUUGUCCGGAAUUACUGGGCGUAAAGGGCUCGUAGGUGGCCAACUAAGUCGGACGUGAAAUCCCUCAGCUUAACUGGGGAACUGCGUCCGAUACUGGAUGGCUCGAGUUUGGGAGAGGGAUGCGGAAUUCCAGGUGUAGCGGUGAAAUGCGUAGAUAUCUGGAGGAACACCGGUGGCGAAGGCGGCAUCCUGGACCAACACUGACACUGAGGAGCGAAAGCCAGGGGAGCAAACGGG
rnacentral:rRNA from 1 species